CAGUGGAAUCUCCAUGCUUUUUGUUGUUGUUGUCCAGGCUUCAUCUGUGUCUUGGAAACCGCCCUAAAACCCAUGGUGGCUGUCAUUGUCUUCACACAUAGAUCAUCGUUACCAAGAAGGACAAAGCCACCGUCUGUGUGACUCCAGAUGCACGAUGGAUCAACAAAGUCAUUGCCAAGUUACAAAGAACCAACAAGAAGAAGAGAAGUGCAGAACUUCCCAUCUCAACCACCAUUGAGUGAAUUGGAACAGGAAUGUAUCAAGUUGGAGCUAAAUGGAAAUGUGAUACCAAUGU